rnacentral:rRNA from 11 species
CCGACCUGCACGAAUGGCAUAAUGAUGGGGGCGCUGUCUCCAGCAGAGACUCAGUGAAAUCGAAUUCGCCGUGAAGAUGCGGUGUACCCGCGGCUAGACGGAAAGACCCCGUGAACCUUUACUAUAGCUUCACAGUGAACUUUGAGCAUGUUUGUGUAGGAUAGCUGGGAGGCUUUGAAGCAGUGGCGCUAGCCAUUGUGGAGCCGUCCUUGAAAUACCAGCCUGGUAAUGUUGAGGUUCUAACUCUGUCCCGUGAUCCGGGACGAGGACCGUGUCUGGUGGGUAGUUUGACUGGGG